CAAAGAUGAAGAUAUUGACGUGUGCCAAACGGUGAAGACUGAGCUUCGAGUAUCUCUUAGUGGUCUACUUGGGGAUUGUGGAAUACUUGCAAUCCCAACUGUUCCUGGACCUCCACCAAAACUAAAAACUGAGACGACUACGUUGGAAGGAUUUCGUGCAAAAGCUUUUAGUCUUUUGUCAAUUGCUGGAGUAUCUGGAUUUUGCCAGGUUAGUAUACCUCUAGG
rnacentral:misc_RNA from 1 species